AUUGAACGCUGGCGGCACGCUUAACACAUGCAAGUAGAACGGCAGCAGGCUUUAAUACCUUCGGGUGUUAAAGUGCUGGCGAGUGGCGGACGGGUGAGUAAUGCGUAGGAAUCUGUCCUAAAGCGGGGGAUAACCCGGGGAAACUCGGGCUAAUACCGCAUACGCUCUGAGGAGGAAAGCUAGGGACCUUCGGGCCUGGCACUUUAGGGUGAGCCUACGUUGGAUUAGCUAGUUGGUAGGGUAAAGGCCUACCAAGGCGACGAUCCAUAGCUGAUCUGAGAGGAUGAUCAGCCACCCUGGGACUGAGACCCGGCCCAGACUCCUACGGGAGGCAGCAGUGGGGAAUCUUGCGCAAUGCGCGAAAGCGUGACGCAGCAACGCCGCGUGGGGGAAGAAGGCCUUCGGGUUGUAAACCCCUUUCAGGAGGGACGAAGCCUCGGCCGUUAAUAGCGGACCGAGGUGACGGUACCUCCAGAAGAAGCCCCGGCUAACUACGUGCCAGCCGCCGCCGUAAGAC
rnacentral:rRNA from 1 species